GUGGGGAAUAUUGGACAAUGGGCGAAAGCCUGAUCCAGCCAUGCCGCGUGUGUGAAGAAGGUCUUCGGAUUGUAAAGCACUUUAAGUUGGGAGGAAGGGCAGUAAGUUAAUACCUUGCUGUUUUGACGUUACCGACAGAAUAAGCACCGGCUAACUUCGUGCCAGCAGCCGCGGUAAUACGAAGGGUGCAAGCGUUAAUCGGAAUUACUGGGCGUAAAGCGCGCGUAGGUGGUUUUGUAAGUUGGAGGUGAAAUCCCCGGGCUCAACCUGGGAACUGCCUCCAAAACUGCAUGACUAGAGUACGGUAGAGGGUAGUGGAAUUUCCUGUGUAGCGGUGAAAUGCGUAGAUAUAGGAAGGAACACCAGUGGAGAAGGCGACUACCUGGACUGAUACUGACACUGAGGUGCGAAAGCGUGGGGAGCAAACAGGAUUAGAAACCCUGGUAGUCC
rnacentral:rRNA from 1 species